rnacentral:rRNA from 2 species
UGAGGAAUAUUGGUCAAUGGACGAGAGUCUGAACCAGCCAAGUAGCGUGAAGGAUGACUGCCCUAUGGGUUGUAAACUUCUUUUAUACGGGAAUAAAGUUAGCCACGUGUGGCUUUUUGUAUGUACCGUAUGAAUAAGGAUCGGCUAACUCCGUGCCAGCAGCCGCGGUAAUACGGAGGAUCCGAGCGUUAUCCGGAUUUAUUGGGUUUAAAGGGAGCGUAGGCGGGUUGUUAAGUCAGUUGUGAAAGUUUGCGGCUCAACCGUAAAAUUGCAGUUGAUACUGGCGACCUUGAGUGCAACAGAGGUAGGCGGAAUUCGUGGUGUAGCGGUGAAAUGCUUAGAUAUCACGAAGAACUCCGAUUGCGAAGGCAGCUUACUGGAUUGUAACUGACGCUGAUGCUCGAAAGUGUGGGUAUCAAACAGGAUUAGAUACCCUGGUAGUCCACACAGUAAACGAUGAAUACUCGCUGUUGGCGAUAUACGGUCAGCGGCCAAGCGAAAGCAUUAAGUAUUCCACCUGGGGAGUACGCCGGCAACGGUGAAACUCAAAGGAAUUGACGGGGGCCCGCACAAGCGGAGGAACAUGUGGUUUAAUUCGAUGAUACGCGAGGAACCUUACCCGGGCUUAAAUUGCAACUGACUGAACCGGAAACAGUUCCUUCUUCGGACAGUUGUGAAGGUGCUGCAUGGUUGUCGUCAGCUCGUGCCGUGAGGUGUCGGCUUAAGUGCCAUAACGAGCGCAACCCUUAUCGAUAGUUACUAGCAGGUCAUGCUGAGGACUCUAUUGAGACUGCCGUCGUAAGAUGUGAGGAAGGUGGGGAUGACGUCAAAUCAGCACGGCCCUUACGUCCGGGGCUACACACGUGUUACAAUGGGGGGUACAGAAGGCAGCUACACGGCGACGUGGUGCUAAUCCCGAAAGCCUCUCUCAGUUCGGAUUGGAGUCUGCAACCCGACUCCAUGAAGCUGGAUUCGCUAGUAAUCGCGCAUCAGCCACGGCGCGGUGAAUACGUUCCC